CCCUUAGAUGUUCUGGGCCGCACGCGCGUUACACUGACCCUAACAAUGAGCAACUGUCUGGCCUGAGAUGGCUGGGUAGCCUUUUCAACCCAUGUCAUGAUUGGGCUAGAUUUUUGUAAGUCUUGAUCUCUAACGAGGAAUCCCUAGUAUGCGUGAAUCAUCAAUCCAUGCAGAUUAUGUCCCUGCCCUUUGUACACACCGCCCGUCGCUACUACUGAUUGGGUGUUCAAGUGAGAUGCUUAGACCCUUGUUGCAUGGUUCAUUAUUGUGCUCCGAAAGGAAAAAGUUUCAAGCUUGAGUGUCUAGAGGAAGUAAAAGUCGUAACA
rnacentral:rRNA from 1 species